CUUUCUCCGGACGGGUAGAGAAAGUGGUGUGUGUGUGUGAAGGCGACUUUUGACCUUCGCGAAAUUCCACUUCGUGGAUUUCGCGUAAUUUCCGGCGACGAAGAUUUUCAUAUCUCGCGCCUAUUCUGAGGAUCUUAGAACUUGACUCGUCCACUUCGUUCUGGACUGCAGAAGAGGCGAGAUCGGUCCAAGUUUAGUCUACCGCGCCGUGGUGUGAAAGUUCAGGUGAACUUUAAUAAACGUGAAAUAACUUUGAAUUUUACUAAUUUAGAUCUUUUCUCAUAAUUCCCUCAGUCAGUUAGCAAGUUAAGCAAGUUUAGUGCCAUAGUGAAAGUGUGCGAAAGGCGGUUUUGAAGUGCGUGCGUAGAACCCUGGAUGCGACAGGUAAUAUAGGUGUACCAUAUUGUGACAAUAGUGUGGUGAAGUCACGUACCGUGCAACGGUUUUUAUUUGAAUAGGUUCGUGGCAAGUUGCGAAGCCCGUCACACCACACCACCAAGUCAGCGACCGUUUUCGACCCCGCUUUCCAGCUUCGGAGUUUGACCCGGCGAUACACGUGGGCCGGAGGGGCAGCGUCCGUCAUUACCGCGCCCUUGGCAGGGCGGCAACAGCGAAGUCCGGUUUCGUAUCGGCAACCAUACCGUGAGUAGAGUGGAAUAGUGAAGUUUUCGUGAAGAAAAAGUUUUGGAGUGACCACCGACCGGUUUCGAACCGGAGUCCCCCGCGUGAGGAGCACGCUCGCUACCUCGACGCCACCGCUGGUGACGACCAGCGAGUCGACGGCUGUAUCCCGUCGGAAGACCACGAACCCCGCGUGAGGCGCCGUUGAGCACGGCCACUGCAUGAUCCCGUAGUAGAAGGAGCAGGAGUCACCGCGUGUCGAUCACGUGACCCGCCGCAAUAGCAACAAGCAACCGCCGAUGCCUCCACACAAGUAAGAUCAAACCGUGAGUACUCUGAUUAUUUUUUCCCAUGCGCAUGGUGAUUUUCGCCCCUAGUCCGGUCAAACCACUAGCGUGGCCCCACCGAUCUUUUUUCCCGCGCCCUACCGUUCGCCCGCUUAUGCGACGUAGUCGGCUGCAAUGAAGUGCACGUUUUUGCCAAUGAACACCAAAAGUCGCACCGCACAGUAAAUCAUUUUACCGCACAAAGAGAGAGAGGUUAGAGAGAGAAGUCUGAGGGAAUGAACAGAGCUAGGCCUAGUGUAUAAGAUUAUGUCGAUGAAGUAGAAGUGUGAUGGUUGUAAAUAUAGAUGGAAAUGGAUUGAAAUAGAUGUGAAAUUGGUUUUUCUCGAUGCGAUAAAAUAAAUGAGUAGUUUGAGCAUAAGUGUCGUUAUGUCGUUCUUUUAGUGGGAGAGAUCUGAAGAGGUAAAUGUAGAAGCAGUUUCACGUUGGCCCUGAAUCCAACCGAGGGACAUUACUUUAAUCGAACGAAGAUUCGUUCGAGGUGUUUGAGUCUUGUUUUCCCGUGAUGAUAACCGUC